GUUUUUGUGUUUUAUUCGUUUGUUUUAUUGAUUGUUUACGAAACUAAAACGAAGAAAUUAAAACUCAAUCACAUUUGUAAAGUGUGUAUAUCAGUAUAUGGCAAUAAAGGUAAGUAUAUAAAUGUAAAGUAUUUUGUACGAGAACAUUUACUGAAACAGGUGAUGCACUUUUACGUAAAUCUUUUCAUAAAUGAACAUCUCGCUGUAGAGGCCGCUUCAGGAGUUUCAUCACAGUUUCCCGUAAAAUCCAAUUAUGAAACACAGAUCCUCGCCAAGGCAAAUGAAGUUAUAUAUUUUGUACAUAUAUUUACUUCACCAAUAUUUCAGCAAGUCCCAUCUGUGGCUAAGGUGGGCGAAAAUUAUACAUUUUUGAAAAGAUGUGAUAAAUCUUAACGAACGUGACGAAACCCGCAAUUGAGAAAUAAACCAUCGCUUCCCUUCUGGGUACAGAACGAAUAAGGCAAUAGUAUUUAUUUCGUGAGAGGAAGUAUGUGAUAUUGCAAUGAGGUGGGUACAAGGAAACGUGAAACUCAAAGAACGAGAAAGAAGAUAACGUUCGAGAAACAGUGUUUUUUUCUGAUUUAGGGAAAUAAUAACGUGAAGAAAUAUGAUCGCUAUGAAAGUGAAUCUUAUGAUAAAUUGUUCCUGGUUUCGAUUAAUAAAAUGUUGUCUUUGGAUAAGGGCAAAACAUCAUUAGUAAACAUGUAUGACAAUGAAAUUUUUUUUUUAAAUUGUUCAAGUGUUAAAAGGGAAAACUUUUACUGUGCGUAGGAUUCUGUAAGGCCAUCAUGGAAAAAAGUGAACCAUUUCAAAUGAAAAACGUUUAUAUCCGAAAGUAAUACAUUUACAGUUUAUUUUUAAUAUUAUUUCACAUUUAUAUCUGUUUCGGAAAUAAAAUUCUUCCUUAAAAAAAAAA